AUGGGCCUGUAGAAAGAGGGGAUACAAAUUCAGUUCAUUGGAGAGAGAGAGAGAGAGAGGUGGUUUGCUUCCAUGUAGACUUUCCACAGAUAGAAUCAUGCAAAAGUCUCAGUUGAUGCCUGGUGGCCAUUCGUGCACUCAAUUGUCAGCAAUGGGUGAAGCGGGCAUCUCAAUUCAGUAUCGUAAAAUGAUUUACAGCCAUCACAAGCGGUUUGUCCACCAACUUUGAGGAAUUUAGCUGAUUGGUGGAUGCAUGGAUAAUAAAUAUGGAAAUCUGGAGAAAUAUUGCUGGGAAGCCAGUUUCUUUGUAACAACUUGGUCCAUUUGGCUCACACGAAAUGGUGUUAUUUUCAACAAUGCAACAACAAGGGUGAACACAGUGGUAGAUUUGAUCAAAGCAAGAGUGGCUAUGUGGAUGAAGGCUAAGUUUGACAUCAAAAUCUACACGGUGGAGGAUUUUAAGGUAUUUUUAGAUGGAAUUCGGAGGGUGAAAUUAUGAUUGUGACUUUGUAGCUUUUGGGGUGGAAAGCUCCCAACUUUUUGUUGGAAGUUCUCUGUUUAUUUGGGUGUUCCUUUUCUUUUUUUUAAUAUGAGCAGUCCCGUUGCUCA